rfam:Ipomoea nil DNA, scaffold: scaffold2036, cultivar: Tokyo-kokei standard.
GGGUCCAUAGCUUAGUGGUAGAGCAUUUGACUGCAGAUUAAGAGGUUACCAGUUCGAACCUGGUUGGGCCCU